GCCUAGAAGAUGGUGCUAACAUUCUUGGCAGCAUCCCUUUAAAGCCAAACACAUCCUCUUCCACUGAGGCCCAACCAGGAAGCCCAGGUACACAUCAAUCCACCGACAAGACCUUCAACCCAAACUUUGUCUUGCCUAUAAGAUGGGCAGGGAUAAAGAUACUGCAGAGACUGAGGAAACAGCCAAGAAAUGAUUGCCCCAUACCAUGUGAGAAAGCCAACACCUGACAGCAUUCAUGAUAUUCUGCUAUGCUUGUAGACAGAAGCCUAGCAUAACUGUCUCUUGAGAAGCUUCGUGAAGCAGCAG
rnacentral:lncRNA from 1 species